rnacentral:rRNA from 1 species
AACGAACGCUGGCGGCAUGCCUAACACAUGCAAGUCGAACGGGAUCCUAGCUUGCUAGGUGAGAGUGGCGGACGGGUGAGUAACACGUGGGAAUCUGCCUUUUGGUUCGGGAUAACCGCGGGAAACUGCGGCUAAUACCGAAUGCCCUCGUGAGAGGAAAGAUUUAUCGCCAGAAGAGGAGCCCGCGUCCGAUUAGGUAGUUGGUGGGGUAAAGGCCUACCAAGCCGACGAUCGGUAGCUGGUCUGAGAGGAUGAUCAGCCACACUGGGACUGAGAUACGGCCCAGACUCCUACGGGAGGCAGCAGUGGGGAAUUUUGGACAAUGGGGGCAACCCUGAUCCAGCAAUGCCGCGUGAGUGAAGAAGGCC